UACGAAGGGGCUAGCGUUGCUCGGAAUCACUGGGCGUAAAGGGUGCGUAGGCGGGUUUUAAGUCAGAGGUGAAAUCCUGGAGCUCAACUCCAGAACUGCCUUUGAUACUGAAAGUCUUGAGUAUGGGAGAGGUGAGUGGAACUGCGAGUGUAGAGGUGAAAUUCGUAGAUAUUCGCAAGAACACCAGUGGCGAAGGCGGCUCACUGGCCCAUUACUGACGCUGAGGCA
rnacentral:rRNA from 1 species